UCGUAGUUACUCGUAAGUUAAGUCAGC
rnacentral:sRNA from 1 species